GAUGAACGCUGGCGGCGUGCCUAAUACAUGCAAGUCGAGCGAACAGACGAGGAGCUUGCUCCUCUGACGUUAGCGGCGGACGGGUGAGUAACACGUGGAUAACCUACCUAUAAGACUGGGAUAACUUCGGGAAACCGGAGCUAAUACCGGAUAAUAUAUUGAACCGCAUGGUUCAAUAGUGAAAGACGGUUUUGCUGUCACUUAUAGAUGGUUCCGGGCCGCAUUAGCUAGUUGGUAAGGUAACGGCUUACCAAGGCAACGAUGCGUAGCCGACCUGAGAGGGUGAUCGGCCACACUGGAACUGAGACACGGUCCAGACUCCUACGGGAGGCAGCAGUAGGGAAUCUUCCGCAAUGGGCGAAAGCCUGACGGAGCAACGCCGCGUGAGUGAUGAAGGUCUUCGGAUCGUAAAACUCUGUUAUUAGGGAAGAACAAAUGUGUAAGUAACUAUGCACGUCUUGACGGUACCUAAUCAGAAAGCCACGGCUAACUACGUG
rnacentral:rRNA from 1 species